rnacentral:rRNA from 1 species
CCUACGGGUGGCAGCAGUGGGGAAUAUUGGACAAUGGGCGAAAGCCUGAUCCAGCCAUGCCGCGUGUGUGAAGAAGGCCUUCGGGUUGUAAAGCACUUUCAGUGGGGAAGAAAGCCUUGGGGCUAAUACCCUCGAGGAAGGACAUCACCCACAGAAGAAGCACCGGCUAACUCCGUGCCAGCAGCCGCGGUAAUACGGAGGGUGCGAGCGUUAAUCGGAAUUACUGGGCGUAAAGCGCGCGUAGGCGGUCUGAUAAGCCGGUUGUGAAAGCCCCGGGCUCAACCUGGGAACGGCAUCCGGAACUGUCAGGCUAGAGUGCAGGAGAGGAAGGUAGAAUUCCCGGUGUAGCGGUGAAAUGCGUAGAGAUCGGGAGGAAUACCAGUGGCGAAGGCGGCCUUCUGGACUGACACUGACGCUGAGGUGCGAAAGCGUGGGUAGCGAACAGGAUUAGAUACCCUGGUAGUC